CAUUUGCAUUGUGUUAGACCAUCCGCAACGGAGGUCCCUAAGGAAUCCUUAACAUUAAUCCUUAAGGUUAAUGAAAUAUAAUAAUAAUAUUUUGGCUUAACUAACUAUGGAUCAAUCCUUCAAGAAGGAUUGGAAGGACUUGAUCCUUAAUACACGUGUCUCCUUAUCCUCCUCUUUCUCCUUCGCUCUCUCUAUAUCUCCUCCCUGGCUCUCUCUCAAUCUCUCCUCGCUAGCCCCAUCAUCGCCCACCAUGGCUCCUCUAUCAUCUUCCUCUUCUUCUUCAUCACCCAACCCUAGAUUAUUUUCAUAAAAAUUGGGGCUUUCUCAUCCGAUCCCAAUCGAGUUCUCACCUCAGGUUCGUCGAAAAUUGGGGCUUUUGCUGGAUUAGAUCAACACUAUGCUCGUUGCUAUUGGGAGUUUUCUAAAGCUCGACUCAGGAAGCAGAUUCGUAUGUUUCCUUCUCCACGACUUCUGUAUUUUGACACAUUCGUUGUUUCUUUUGAAGAUAUAAAGUUGGAAGAAUCGAGCAGUUAGAAACAUCUGACCAGGCAAAAGCCAGAGGUGCAAAUACUAUAAUACCGAGGAAGCUAGUUCAGGUAUUAACUCCAUCAACAGCAAGCGAGGGUAAUCUAGGGCCUGAUCCCGUCCAUCUCCUUGCUAUAAAAGAGAUGAAAAUGGAGCUAGAAAAGUGUUCAACUGUCCAGAAGUGGCCUGAGCUAUGGCCUAAACGGCUUGUGAGUGUAAAGCCUCAAAGUGUUUCGGCUGACACAAAAACAUCCAAGAAAGAUACAGAGAAAUGGUCAGAGAUUGUAUCUGAUGUCUAUCUUGAACGUUUAGCUGUAAACUGGUCUAGCGUGAGGAAUGUGAUGGACAUGAAUGCUGGUUUUGGCGGACACUGACAGGAAGGUUGGAACAGAAGCAAACGUCGACGAGGCAAAUACUAGAAAAAGAAGAUGACGUCAUGCCUCUCCUAAAAGAAAAGCUAAUUACUUAUUAUGGUAAAACUCUUUAUCAAAACUGUAAGUGCUGUUUUGAUGUAUGUUUUUGACAGAAAAGGGGGGUGGGGCGGGACCAA